rnacentral:rRNA from 1 species
GAAGGGAAACCGAGUCUUAACUGGGCGUUAAGUUGCAGGGUAUAGACCCGAAACCCGGUGAUCUAGCCAUGGGCAGGUUGAAGGUUGGGUAACACUAACUGGAGGACCGAACCGACUAAUGUUGAAAAAUUAGCGGAUGACUUGUGGCUGGGGGUGAAAGGCCAAUCAAACCGGGAGAUAGCUGGUUCUCCCCGAAAGCUAUUUAGGUAGCGCCUCGUGAAUUCAUCUCCGGGGGUAGAGCACUGUUUCGGCAAGGGGGUCAUCCCGACUUACCAACCCGAUGCAAACUGCGAAUACCGGAGAAUGUUAUCACGGGAGACACACGGCGGGUGCUAACGUCCGUCGUGAAGAGGGAAACAACCCAGACCGCCAGCUAAGGUCCCAAAGUCAUGGUUAAGUGGGAAACGAUGUGGGAAGGCCCAGACAGCCAGGAUGUUGGCUUAGAAGCAGCCAUCAUUUAAAGAAAGCGUAAUAGCUCACUGGUCGAGUCGGCCUGCGCGGAAGAUGUAACGGGGCUAAACCAUGCAC